rnacentral:lncRNA from 1 species
UCUAGCGAAAUCAACGCGCCGUUUGCAUCUUCAAAGCAUCCCACUUUACCCUAGACCUAUGCUAUGAACUUUGCUAAAUUGCAACUUUAGUCCCUGAACUAUUAGACCUUUACAAUUUGGUCCUUGACUUUACAAUUUUGACAAAUAGGUCCUUUGGUCACAGAUUGCCAAUUACACAUUUUCCUAACAAACUCUCCCUUUGGCAUUCUGUGACAAAAAUACAUAUGACAGUCAAGGACAUAAAUAAAAAUGACUCCAAACAACCUAUCUAUUCAACCAAAGCAGCUAUCUCUUGUUGAACCUGUUUUCUGAAAAUCAAAAACUCAAAUACC